rnacentral:rRNA from 1 species
CUGACGAGUGGCGGACGGGUGAGUAAUGUCUGGGAAACUGCCUGAUGGAGGGGGAUAACUACUGGAAACGGUAGCUAAUACCGCAUAACGUCGCAAGACCAAAGAGGGGGACCUUCGGGCCUCUUGCCAUCGGAUGUGCCCAGAUGGGAUUAGCUAGUAGGUGGGGUAACGGCUCACCUAGGCGACGAUCAGUAGCCGGCCUGAGAGGGUGAACGGCCACAUUGGGACUGAGACACGGCCCAAACUCCUACGGGAGGCAGCAUG